rnacentral:rRNA from 1 species
ACGAACGCUGGCGGCAUGCCUAACACCUGCAAGUCGAACGAGACCUUCGGGUCUAGUGGCGCACGGAUGCGUAACGCGUGGGAACCUGCCCUUAGGUUCGGAAUAACUCCCCGAAAGGGGUGCUAAUACCGGAUAAUGUCUUCGGACCAAAGAUUUAUCGCCUUUGGAUGGGCCCGCGUUGGAUUAGCUAGUUGGUAGGGUAAAAGCCUACCAAGGCGACGAUCCAUAGCUGGUCUGAGAGGAUGAUCAGCCACACUGGGACUGAGACACGGCCCAGACUCCUACGGGAGGCAGCAGUGGGGAAUAUUGGACAAUGGGCGAAAGCCUGAUCCAGCAAUGCCGCGUGAGUGAUGAAGGCCUUAGGGUUGUAAAGCUCUUUUACCCGGGAUGAUAAUGACAGUACCGGGAGAAUAAGCUCCGGCUAACUCCGUG